rnacentral:rRNA from 1 species
UACGUAGGGUGCGAGCGUUAAUCGGAAUUACUGGGCGUAAAGCGUGCGUAGGCGGUUCUCCAAGUCCGUUGUGAAAGCCCCGGGCUCAACCUGGGAAUGGCAGUGGAAACUAGGGGACUGGAAUCUGGCAGAGGGGGGUGGAAUGCCGCGUGUAGCAGUGAAAUGCGCAGAUAUCAGGAAGAACACCCGUGGCGAAGGCGGCUCUCUGGGACGGUACUGACGCUGAGACGCGAAAGCGUGGGGAGCGAACAGG